rnacentral:lncRNA from 1 species
CAGAGCCCGCCAGCUGCUAAGCCAGGGCCACACCUGGGGGUGAUUUCAUGCCUCACCUCCAGUAGGCUCCAUGGUCUCUUGGGCUAACCUCUGGCUCCUGCACUAACUCUUGCUCUCACCCAGCUAAUCCCUGCCUCUCCCUGGCUGCCCCAGGGCUGACCACUAACAGCCAACUGUGCCCAUCUGGGGGCCCCAGGCUCCCAGCCUGGCUUUGGUGGCUCUCAUGGACCAUUCCUUCUCCCGGACUAACUCCUGAACUUCUGUCCUCUCAGCAGAAACUAACGGCUGUGGAUUUCUCUCUGACUAACAGGUCUAAUACUCAUUUACUGUUACCGUUAACAGCUUGGAUGGUGCAUGGCUGGG